GGGGUUGUAGCUCAGCAGUAGAGCGCUCACCUAGCAAGUGCGAAGCGCUGGGUUCAAUCCUCAGCACCA
rnacentral:tRNA from 1 species